UCAAAGACUUCCUUUGACGGGGACAUUUGC
rnacentral:piRNA from 1 species